rnacentral:rRNA from 1 species
UACGAAGGGUGCAAGCGUUACUCGGAAUUACUGGGCGUAAAGCGUGCGUAGGUGGUUUGUUAAGUCUGUUGUGAAAGCCCCGGGCUCAACCUGGGAAUGGCAAUGGAUACUGGCAAGCUAGAGUGCGGUAGAGGGUAGUGGAAUUCCCGGUGUAGCGGUGAAAUGCGCAGAUAUCAGGAGGAACACCAAUAGCGAAGGCAGCUCGCUGGGACGGUAUUGACGCUAAGGCGCGAAAAGCGUGGGGAGCGAACAGG